rnacentral:rRNA from 1 species
AGUGAACGCUGGCGGUAGGCCUAACACAUGCAAGUCGAACGGCAGCACAGUAAGAGCUUGCUCUUACGGGUGGCGAGUGGCGGACGGGUGAGGAAUACAUCGGAAUCUACUUUUUCGUGGGGGAUAACGUAGGGAAACUUACGCUAAUACCGCAUACGACCUACGGGUGAAAGCAGGGGAUCUUCGGACCUUGCGCGAUUGAAUGAGCCGAUGUCGGAUUAGCUAGUUGGCGGGGUAAAGGCCCACCAAGGCGACGUUCCGUAGCUGGUCUGAGAGGAUGAUCAGCCACACUGGAACUGAGACACGGUCCAGACUCCUACGGGAGGCAGCAGUGGGGAAUAUUGGACAAUGGGCGCAAGCCUGAUCCAGCCAUACCGCGUGGGUGAAGAAGGCCUUCGGGUUGUAAAGCCCUUUUGUUGGGAAAGAAAAGCAGCAGGUUAAUACCCCGCUGUUCUGACGGUGCCCAAAGAAUAAGCACCGGCUAACUUCGUG